UCCGCUCUGGCGGCCGCUCCGCCCAUGCGCACAACGAGCCUGCGAGGCGCGCGAGCCCCACCCCCCCCAGCAACUCAGUGCGCAUGUCCGGGUCCUGACCCCUAGCGGAAGGUGGAGACGGGAAGAGGGAGGUGCUUUUGUUUCCGUGCAUAGGAGCAAAAGGAGGCUGCCCAUUGUGGUCCCUCGAAAAGCGCUAAAAGGGGCGGUAGGCGGAAGGAUCAAGGUGAUGCGUUCGAGAUGAGUGGCCCUGUAGUGCUCACCAGUGCCAAUGAUGGACCACAAUGUGGAGAUAUAAGCCAAAUAAAGGCUUUCGUCCCCAGCGUGCCUUUGGUCAUGGAGUGUCACCACAGCAAGAGAAGUGCUAAGACAAAGGGAAUCCACAGGCGGGAAGGAGCUCACAACACAGGGAUGUCGUCAAACCUCUGGAGAUUUUAGGAACAGAUGGAACAAGCCUCAAAAUAAUGGCUACGUACGAUAAACCUAUAAUCAAUGUUAUAACAUGGAGACAAACAGCAUUUUCUCUAAAACCAGGAACAGGACAAGGACGUUCACACUCUCUUAUCUAUAAGUGCUUGAAGUCUUAGUUAUAGCAAUUAGACAAGAGAAAGGCAUAAACAGGAUUAAAAAAAAUAGGACAGGAAGAAGAUAAACCCAUCUCUAUUUACAGAUGACACAAUUCUUGUUUAAAAGACCCUAUUGAGUCUGCUAGAAAACUAAUAAAUACAGUGAAGUUACCAUAUACAAAAUACAUGUUUAAAAAAAAAAAAAAAGAAGAGCCUUCAUUGUACUCCCAGGAAUAGAAAUCAGAGGCAAUAUUCCAUUUAAAAUAAUCAGCCCCAAUUAAGCAUUUAGAAAUAUAUCUAAGCAAAGAAAUAAAGGACCUUUACAAAAAUUAUCAAGAUAUUUAAAAAUGAAAUUACACAAGAUAUUGGAUUAUGAAAAGGCAUCUCAUGCUCCUGGAUUGGCAGUUAAUAUUGUGAGAAUGGACACACACGCGCACACACACACACACACACACAGAGAGAGAGAGAGAGAGAGAGAGAGAGAGAGAGAUCCAAAACAGCCAAAGCAAUCCUAGAUGAUAGAUGAUACUGGCAUAAGAUCAGACAGAUGCACCAAUGGGGUAGAAAAGAGGUCAAACAAGAAAGCUGUGCCCACUUAUUUAUUUACAAGGAAUAAAAAACAUACACUAGAUAAAAGCCUAUUCAACAAAUGGUUCUGGCAAAAUUUGAUACCUACUUGCAGAAGAAUGAAAUUAGAUUCGUAUUUUUCACCUCAUACAAAAAUCAAUUUAAAUUGGAUUAAAUAUCUUAAUGUAAAGCCGGAAACACUGAAACUUCUAGAAGAAAACACAGAUAGAGGGGAAUAUAGAACCCUUUUAAUGGAGGACCAACAGCACGGGAACUAGCAUCGGCAGAUGGGUUUACAUGAAAAUCAAGUUUCUGCUCAGCGAAGGAAAUGGUCAGCACAGCACAGACAGCCCACAGCACGGGAUAUCAUCUGCACCAGCUACGCCUCAGACAGACUACAAAGAACUGCAGAAAUUAAAUACCAAGGAAAUAAAACUGACAAUAAAUAGGUAAGUGAAUUGAAUAGACAACUUUUCAAAAAAAGAAACACAGAUUGCCAGUACCUAUUGUUUUAAAUGUUCUAUACUUCUAGACAUCAGGGAAAUACAAACUAAAACUACUCUGAGAUACCACAUUGCCCCAGUCAGAAUGGCUCUCGUCAGUAAACCCAAUAACAAGUGUUAGAGAGCUGUUUGGUGAGCGGAACCCUUAUUCACACUGGUGAUGGUGCGAAUUAAUACAGCCAUUGUGGAAAUCAAGUUUGGAGAUUUCUCAAAAAAAAAAUAAAUAAAUAAAAAUCGAACCGUUGUGCUGGCUAUUUUUAUAGUCAUCUGAGAAAAGGGAGCCUCAACUGAGAAAAUGCCUCCCUCAUCAUGAUGUAGGCAAGCCUAGAUGAGAUUUCCUUAGGGAUUGAUGUGGGAGGGCCCAGUACACAGUGUGUGGUGCCACCUCUGGGCUGAUGGUUCAGGAUUUUAUAAAAAAGCAGACUGAGCAAGCUAUAUGAAGGAAGCCAGUAAGUAGCACUCUUCCAUGGCUUCUGCAUCAGCUCCUGCCUCCAGGUCCCUUUCCUGUUUGAAUUCCUGUCCUGACUUCCUUAAAUGAUAUACACUGAAGUGAACACCUAAGCCACAUAAAGCCCCUUCCCUCCCUGAGUUGCUUUGGUGUUUCAUUAUAGCAAUAGUAACCCUAACUAGACCUUAGAUUUCCAGCCUGCAGGACUGGAAGGAAAUUGUGUGUUGUUUGGAAAACGUGGGCUGUGUUGGAACUUUGUUAGGGCACGCUCAGAACUAACCAGCUAUACUUGUUUUGCUGAGGAGUGGGGCUGCAGAGCCAUCUGCAAUGCUGUCCAGAACUACGUCAUUAUAACAUGAGAAAACUUUUGCUAGCCCCAGUACCUUCAUGCUUGCACAGAACCCCACUCCAUGCCUUCAGCUAUCAAAUCCAUUUUCAUUUCCCAACUGAAACCAAAAAAGGCUUCCUAGAACUCAAGGCUGAGUAUUUCCUUGCAAAAAUUAUUUAAUGGAUGAGUAAUAGGCUCUCCAUUAUUCUCAAAGUUCAAGUAUAUUUUUGUAAGGUUUAUUUUUAUUAUCAUGUAUAUGUGUGUGCAUGUGCAUGCUCAUAGAGGCCAGCAGAGGGGCUUCCCCCUGGAGGGUGGAUCAGGUGGUUGCAAGUCUCCUCAAAACAUUCUGGGAUCUGAGCUAGGUCCCGUGCAAGAACGGCAAGUGCUCUUAUCCACCGAACUGUCUCUCUAGCCCCAAAUUCAAAUAUUUUAAUACAGUUUCUCAUGUUCUUGUUAGCUGGCAUUUAAUUUACCUAGGCAAAUAGCUAGCUAUAUGAAGAUACAGGAAACUGAUAGCUGGCUGUUUUACCUUUAGAUUUACCUUUGUUAUUUUUUAUUUUUAGAGUAAGCAUAUUCUUGGUACACCCACACUGAACACUGGACUUCACCUUUAUCAUAGCAUCUUACAUUUGCCUGUACGGUGGUGUCUCCUUCACAUGGUGUCUCCUGAUUGAACUGUGUCUGUCAUGUUCAUCAGUGCAUCUUUGAUAGCUACAGGUCAUUGGCGUUACCAGAUUCUAUAGGUCAAUUAAACCUUUAACCCAAAGAGUUAGUGGUCUCAAAUGUUUUAGAAACGCAGGAAUGGGGGCUGGAAAGGUGACUCUGUGGUUAAGAACACUGACUGCCUUUCCAGGCACCUGGAGUUCAGGUCCCAGGUCAGUUCCCAGUUCACUGGGCAGCUCAUAGUCGCCCAACUCAAGGGGAGCUGACACCCCCUUCUGACAUCACUGGCUACCUGCACACUCAUGGCAUCCAUUCACACUCAUGGCAUACACUCAUCCGCAUGAGUUAAAAUAAAAAGAAUUAAAAAUAAGAACUAUGGAAGUUUUGUGUCUUUAACAAUACAGACAUAAAUGUAUAAUAUAUAUAUCCACAUCUACAUGUAUAUGUGAAUACACACAUUCAGUCAGUGUGACAAUGUAUUUGUAUAUAUCAUAACUAUAGAUUCUGUGAAUUGAUUUUAUCUUAAAAGUUUUUAAAAUUAUCGCUUCUCGGCCUUUUGGCUAAGAUCAAGUGUAAAAGUUUUUAAAAUUAAAAAAUAAUUAUCCAUUGGCAUAUGGAAGAAUUGAUUCUGACUCUAAAAAAUAGCACAAUCCUUGGACGAUCAAGCUCCCGAUAUGAAAUGACAUUUUAUAUGCAUGUGCUUUAUGUCCAUCCUCCCAGACAUUUAAAUUACCUUCCGUUUAUUCACAACAUGUGACACAGUUUAAAAGUAUGUAAAUAGCGAUUACUGGGUAGUGUGAGAAAUAACGAUAAAAACCUUUUCGUGUUCAGUUCAGUCAUAUGUGUGUGUUAUAUGUACAUGUUCACGUGUGUACGUCUGUGUGCACAGUUGUGCAUGUGCACAGGUGUUAUGUGUGGAGCUCAAAAGGUCCAAGUCAGGUGUCUUCCUCAUUCUCUCCACCUUUUGUAUCUUUGAGUCGGUGUCUUUCACUAAAACUAGAGCUCACUGGCCCUCCUGUCUCCUAGGCCUCCCAUCCCUGCCACCCCAGCUCUACGAUUACAGAAGCACACAUUGCAUCCAACAUUUAAACAGAUGUGGGGGAUCUGAACUUGGGUCCUCAUGCUUGCUCAGCAAGCAAGCACUGUAUCAACUGAGUCACCCCAGGCCUCACCGGAAUAUUUUUAGCCUAUGGUUUUAAUCUACAGAUAUGGAACCUGUGGGCACAGAGGAUCCGACACUAAAGCCGUCAGGCAUGACAGCUGAUGAAUCUGAGUGACAUGUUUGGAAUCCUUAGUUUACUUGUAUACUUAGAAUAAUAGUCUCCUUUAAGAGUCGGAACUGUGUCAGAGCACUCUAGGACCUGACUCCAGGUCUUUUUUCACAAGAAAUGAACCAAAAAUGUGGACUUUCCCCAUCAUGUAUAUAAUGACCUUUUUGAUAGGUGCUUACAAUUCCAGAUAAAUUAUGGCAUUAUUUGACCCUAUGAGCAGAGUGGCAAACUGCCUUGUCUGUAUAAUCCAAGGGGAAAGAGUUUUACACCUAAGAGUUUUCAGGAGGAAACCGGAAGCGGAGCUCAGCUGUAGAAGCCUUGGCUGGAUGUCACCACGACAGGAUGCAACUACAUCACAGUCUCGCAGGCCUUUAAGCCAAGACUGAGAAGAUGAAUUGAUUGUUCUCCUCUCCCACUGAGACGUGAGGGGAAAGGCACGAGUCAGGGUCAUUCUAAAUUUAUGAGGUUGGCUUUCACAUUUAACUUGUAAAAAGCUUAUUAAAUAUUUUACAGUGUUCUUACUCAUGCAUAAAAUAUUGAAACCUAGUGAUUUUCCUAGAGAAAAUCCUGACAGCUCAGAGAGUCUUUUCUCAUGUGAAUCCCCACUUUAGAGUUCGUAAAGAAAGAUCUGGCCAUCAGAUAGCUCACUAACUACUACAGUAGUCAAGGCAGGUCGCAGAGGGCUUGUAGCUCAGGGUUAUUUUAAUAAGUUCCUGGGACUGUGCAAAAGGCACCAUGAAAACCAGGGCCACAGACACCAAAUUUAAAUUCUGAGUUUGAGGCACUGAGGUGCAGACAGGAGCAGCAAUGUUCCAGGCAGAAGGUCGGAGGGAAAGAAGAUGAUUUUAAGUGAUGCAGAGCCAAGACGACAGCAAGAGACACUUGAGUUAGACAAGCACGGAAAUGGGAUCGCAAGUCCUCCUAGGUCUGAAGGAAACACCUUGCCCUUGAGAAUGGGAAGUUGAAUAAAUACCACAAAAUUAUAUCUACAUACUAUCAUUUAAGGAUAAACUUCAUGCAUAUAAGCAUGUUCCAUUUACACAUCAUUAUCUUUUUAAAAUUCAAUAAUUAUAGAAAAUGGCCAGUUAUUUAAGGGAAGUCAAGACAGUAAGUUAUCACACUUUCAGUUUUAAUAUUUCCAGUCUAAAUCCUGUUUGGAUCCAAUAGAAUCAGAGGUAAUUGUUUUUACAAAAUUAUAGUGUGUUAGGCUGGAGAGAUGGCUCAGCACUUAAGAGCACCGGCUGCUCUACCAGAGGACCUGGGUUCAAUUCCCAGGGCUUAUAUGAUGUUUAAAAGCAACUGUUCCCCUAUGUUCCUUUGGUUUCAUGGAAUCUGAUGCCCUCUCCUGGCCUCUGUAGGCUCUGCACACCCAUGGCUUCACAGACAUACCUGCAGGUUAUCAUCUACACACACAAAUUAAAUUUAAAAAACAUUUUUAUAGGAUUUUUUUGUGGUUUUUUAAAAAAGGCAUAAUGUAUUAGUUAUUUUUCAAUGCUACCAAUUACCUCCAGUGAACUAAGCAACAAUUAACAUUAUUGCUGAGUUUCUGUGUUAUCAGUAAAAGUCAGGAGUGGCUUAAUCCUCAUGGUCCAGAUCAGAAUGUUUCAUGAUGUCAAAAUGUUGAUCAGGGAACUGUUAUUUGAAAGCUUCACCCAUGCUGGAAGACCCCUCCCAAAGUAACUGUCACGUGGCUGGUAAUCAGCAGAGCCGUAGGGCUGGAAAGAUGGCUCAGUGGUUAAGAGCAUUGUCUGCUCUUCCAGAGGUCCUGAGUUCAAAUCCCAGCAACUACAUGGUAGCUCACAACCACCUGUAAUGAGAUCUGAUGCCCUCGACUGGUGUGUCUGAAGACAGCGACAGUGUACUUACAUAUAAAUAAAUAAAUUUAAAAAAAAAAAGAAAAAGAAAAAAAGUAAAG